rnacentral:rRNA from 1 species
GACGAACCAUGCAAACGUUAUUCGGAAUUACUGGGCUUAAAGCGUGCGUAGGCGGCUCAGAAAGUUGGGUGUGAAAUCCCUCGGCCUAACCGAGGAAUUGCGCCCAAAACUACUGGGCUCGAGGGAGUUAGAGGUGAGCGGAACUCACGGUGGAGCGGUGAAAUGCGUUGAUAUCGUGAGGAACACCGGAGGCGAAAGCGGCUCACUGGGGCUUUCUGACGCUGAGGCACGAAAGCUAGGGGAGCAAACGGG